rnacentral:rRNA from 1 species
UACAGAGGGGGCAAGCGUUGUUCGGAAUUACUGGGCGUAAAGGGCGCGUAGGCAGCCUUCUAAGUCGAACGUGAAAUCCCUGGGCUCAACCCAGGAACUGCGUCCGAUACUGGAAGGCUUGAAUCCGGGAGAGGGAUGCGGAAUUCCAGGUGUAGCGGUGAAAUGCGUAGAUAUCUGGAGGAACACCGGUGGCGAAGGCGGCAUCCUGGACCGGUAUUGACGCUGAGGCGCGAAAGCCAGGGGAGCAAACGGG